rnacentral:rRNA from 1 species
ACGCGAGCUGGGUUCAGAACGUCGUGAGACAGUUCGGUCCCUAUCCGUCGCAGGCGUAGGAAAUUUGAGAAGACCUGUCCUUAGUACGAGAGGACCGGGAUGGACGUACCUCUGGUGUACCAGUUGUGCUGCCAAGGGCAUGGCUGGGUAGCUAUGUACGGAAUGGAUAAGCGCUGAAAGCAUCUAAGCGCGAAGCCAACUUCAAGAUAAGAUUUCCCACCG